rnacentral:rRNA from 1 species
GAUGAACGCUCGCUACAGGCUUAACACAUGCAAGUCGAGGGGCAGCGGUAUCGAAAGCUUGCUUUCGGUAGCCGGCGACCGGCGCACGGGUGAGUAACGCGUAUCGAACCUGCCUCAUACUCGGGAAUAGCCUUGCGAAAGUAAGAUUAAUGCCCGGUGUUUUCCGCGUCCCGCAUGAGGCUUUGAACAAAGAUUUAUCGGUAUGAGAUGGCGAUGCGUCCCAUUAGCUUGUUGGCGGGGUAACGGCCCACCAAGGCAUCGAUGGGUAGGGGUUCUGAGAGGAAGGUCCACCACAUUGGAGCUGAGACACGGUCCAAACUCCUACGGGAGGCAGCAGUGAGGAAUAUUAGGCAAUGGGCGGAAGCCUGAACCAGCCAAGUAGCGUGCAGGAAGACGGCCAUCCGGGUUGUAAACUGCUUUUAGUUGGGAAUAGAGCGGGGCUCGUGAGCCCCCUUGCAUGUACCAUCAGAAAAAGGACCGGCUAAUUCCGUG